rnacentral:rRNA from 1 species
AGUCGGUGGAGUGAUUUGUCUGGUUAAUUCCGAUAACGGACGAGACUCUGACAUGCUAACUAGUUUCGCUUGCUACCUUUUAGGUCAGGUGGGAACUUCUUAGAUGGAUUGGCGCCUUUUUGAAUGCGCAUGAAAUAGAGCUAUAACAGGU